rnacentral:rRNA from 1 species
UACAGAGGGUGCUAGCGUUAAUCGGAAUUACUGGGCGUAAAGGGUGUGUAGGUGGUUGGAUAAGUUAGAUGUGAAAUCCCUGGGCUUAACCUGGGAACUGCGUUUAAAACUGUUCAGCUAGAGUACUGUAGAGGAUAGUGGAAUUUCCAGUGUAGCGGUGAAAUGCGUAGAUAUUGGAAGGAACACCAGUGGCGAAGGCGACUAUCUGGACAGAUACUGACACUGAAACACGAAAGCGUGGGGAGCAAACAGG